CGGGCUGUGGCGCAGUUGGCUAGCGCACAUGUCUGGGGGACAUGGGGUCGCCGGUUCAAGUCCGGCCAGCCCGA
rnacentral:tRNA from 1 species